rnacentral:rRNA from 1 species
GGCGGCAUGCUUAACACAUGCAAGUCGAACGCUUCUUGGGGCUUCGGCUCCAAGGGGAGUGGCGCACGGGUGAGUAGCGCGUGGGAACCUGCCCUCUUGUGGGGGAUAACCGCGGGAAACUGCGGCUAAUACCGCAUAAGCCGGUCUUCUUGAGAGAGAGGACCGGGAAAGAUUUAUCGCGAGAGGAGGGGCCCGCGUCGGAUUAGCUUGUUGGUGGGGUAACGGCCUACCAAGGCAGUGAUCCGUAGCUGGUCUGAGAGGAUGAUCAGCCACACUGGGACUGAGACACGGCCCAGACUCCUACGGGAGGCAGCAGUGGGGAAUAUUGGACAAUGGGCGCAAGCCUGAUCCAGCAAUGCCGCGUGAGUGAGGAAGGCCUUAGGGUUGUAAAGCUCUUUCACCCGCGACGAUNAUNACGGANGCGGGAGAAGAAGCCCCGGCUAACUUCGUGCCAGCAGCCGCGGUA